AGAAAACCAUUUUUAUGAAACUAAAAGUUCUCAUUUCUCUUCUUCAAUGGCGGGAUGAAUGAUGAUGGACUUCUGGCGGCACUCAAAUUCUCCAGGUAUUAAUCCCUCUAUUUCGUCGCUACAUCCGUGUUUAGAUCAUCCGAUUGCUUCGAUGAAUCCUUCUUUGCCUCCGUUUCGCUUUGUUUCUGGCCCCAUCCCAUGAAAUCCAACAGUGUCAUUGAAGUCGGCGUUUCUGGGCCAUUGUUGAUCGCAUCUUCUCUUCGGCGUGGCGACUUUGCCGGUGGUGUUUCGCUCAUUGGUUUCCUCCUCGAUGCUGUUCGUAAUUGAUUUUGAGUUAAGCUAUCGGCGUGGAGUACGUCUUCUAUUCGAGACAUGACUGUGAAGGCCAAGCUUUCCAGAGUUCUGGAGUAGCUCUCUAGAACGGCGUGCCCUACAUCCUGCAGUUCAGGCAAGAGUUUGAGUUAUCACUAGAGAUGUCUAUGGAGCAGGAACGGGGAAGCCUUCCUCCCUUAUUCCAUCUCUUAUUCUCCGUUUAAAAGGAGGAGGCUUUCUACUUCGUUUGAAACAGGUUAAAUGAACAUUUCUAAUUAUCACUUGAGAUAUAUUCUCGGCCAGGAGAUAAAAGGUUUGAGUUAUCACUAGUGAUGUCUAUGGAGCAGGGACGGGGAAGCCUUCCUCCCUUAUUCAAUCUCUUAUUCUCCGUUUAAAAGGAGGCUUUCUACUUCGUUUGAAACAGGUUAAAUGAACAUUUCUAAUUAUCACUUGAGAUAUAUUCUCGGCCAGGAGAUAAAAGGUUUGAAUUAUCACUAGUGAUGUCUGCGGGGACGGGGAAGCCUUCCUCCCUUAUUCCAUCUCUUAUUCUCCGUUUAAAUGGAGGCUUUUGACCUCGUUUGAAACAGGUUAAAUGGACAUUUCUAAUUAUCACUAGAGAUAUAUUCUCGACCAGGAAAUAAAAGGUUUGAGUUAUCACUA